GUAUAAUGUGUCCCCUGCUGUAUAGUCCAAAACCACUGCACGAUGUCUUUGUGCACCAAAUACUGGCGAGAUGGCACCGUGUUGAAAAGUCCAAACAGUGUCUGUGAGUUAAAAUGGCCGCCAUCCAUUGUUCUCACCAUGUGCUUCUGAUACAGGAAAUGGUGGCCACCCAGUAACUCCACAGUAUGUCCCCAGGUGGUUCUUAAAGGGCCAGCAGCAGCACAACACAAAU